rnacentral:rRNA from 1 species
GGCUUAGAGUUUGAUCAUGGCUCAGGAUGAACGCUGGCGGCGUGCCUAACACAUGCAAGUCGAACGAAGCGGUUUUGCGGAAGUUUUCGGAUGGAAGCGGAAUUGACUGAGUGGCGGACGGGUGAGUAACGCGUGGAUAACCUGCCUCAUACAGGGGGAUAACAGUUAGAAAUGACUGCUAAUACCGCAUAAGCGCACGGGAACGCAUGUUCCUGUGUGAAAAGCCGAGACGGUAUGAGAUGGAUCCGCGUCUGAUUAGCUAGUUGGUGAGGUAACGGCCCACCAAGGCGACGAUCAGUAGCCGACCUGAGAGGGUGACCGGCCACAUUGGGACUGAGACACGGCCCAAACUCCUACGGGAGGCAGCAGUGGGGAAUAUUGCACAAUGGGGGAAACCCUGAUGCAGCGACACCGCGUGAGUGAAGAAGUAUUUCGGUAUGUAAAGCUCUAUCAGCAGGGAAGAGAAUGACGGUACCUGACUAAGAAGCCCCGGCUCACUACGUGCCAGCAGCCGCGGUAAUACGUAGGGGGCAAGCGUUAUCCGGAUUUACUGGGUGUAAAGGGAGCGUAGACGGCAUAGCAAGUCUGAAGUGAAAUACCCGGGCUCAACCCGGGAGCUGCUUUGGAAACUGUUAGGCUGGAGUGCUGGAGAGGCAAGCGGAAUUCCUAGUGUAGCGGUGAAAUGCGUAGAUAUUAGGAGGAACACCAGUGGCGAAGGCGGCUUGCUGGACAGUAACUGACGUUGAGGCUCGAAAGCGUGGGGAGCAAACAGGAUUAGAUACCCUGGUAGUCCACGCCGUAAACGAUGAUACUAGUGUUGGUGUGCAAAGCGCAUCGGUGCCGUCGCAAACGCAGUAAGUAUUCCAC